UUCGGCGUUACCAGGAGAGACAUGCCACCAUUAGGGCUUCAUUUCCCUGCAGUCUUCUUUAAAUACCAAAACUGCCCUGGGAAGGAUAAGACAUCAGUUUCUUCAUAUUUCAGAGCAAACGGGAUUGAUUCCCAAGUCCUCCUUUCUGUGGACUGGGUUUUUGCCUCCUCACCAAGAGAAAGGGCUCCCUGGGCAAGCAGAGGCUGCUGGGUUCAGUAUCUGAACACUUUUGCUAAAGGUCUCUGGAAAGCUCCCUGUGUUAAUUCUGGAUGAGACUAUGUCUGUGUCGGCUGCUUCCUGAGCCUCCUUCCAUGUGCAUAGGCCUGCUGCAUGCUGGAGACCCGCGGCACAGCUGCCAAAUGCCCCUGUGUGGCUCUGUGAUCUUGGGACAGUCACUUCCUCUCUGUGGUUGUCAGUCUUCUCAUCCCUAAGAUGGAAUAAGAAGGCCUACCUCAUUGGGCUCUUGUGGGUGAGGAGAACUGAAGAGUCUGAGAGCGCGGCACGAGCCAGAGGCUACGGAAAACACUGCCCUCCCACACUCCACCUUGGAGAGACCCAGAAAAGAACAAGCUUCAUUUGAAAAAAAGGAAAACAGCUCAGGCAAUGGGGGUGGCUUAAAGGCACUCUACAGUGUGCAGAUGCCUUCCACUUCUUCCAUCUGCCCUGUCUCUCCAAGAACCCCUAUGGCCCCAGGCUCAGAACCGAGCUGAGUGCAGAAAUGAAAAUCUAUGGCUCUGUGUUCCAAAACGAUGAAGAAUUUCAAGAUGGUGGCAGUGGUAAAAUCCUCCUCCAGGAAAAAUCUGUCCGUGGCCCAAUGUGUAAACACUUGCUGAGGAACUUGGAGUAACUUGCAGUGUCUUGCAGUAUUAUGAAACC
rnacentral:lncRNA from 1 species